rnacentral:lncRNA from 12 species
UAAACACCUAUUAAGCUACUUGGAUCCACCUACUUAAUACAUGGUAUUUCUUUGGGCCUCAAGGCAUUGGGGAAAAGUAACUGACAUACUAAAAGAGCAGUGAACUGAGGAAGUUUGAGAAUCUCUGUUGUGGUUUGUUGUGACCUAGCCUCACACCAUCCCUUUCUAACACUCCCCUGCUCCCUGCAUCCCAUGCCUUACCAAAGAGCACUGGGUGCUGUUCCUUGCACUCACCAUGCUUCCUUGCCUCUAGAACUUCAUGCAUGCUCUCCUCUCUGUUGGGAAUGGCUCUCUCCUCUCUCUUCCCCUCACUGUGCACUCUCAGAUUACUUGUAUUUGCAAUGAUCACAGCACCUAUCACAUUGUAUUGCACUGAUGGCUCACACAUUUGCUUUUCCACUAGGUGGUGAGCUUCUCGAGAGUGAAGAACAGGUCUUGCUCACCUUGGUAUACCCAGCAUUGGCUGACCAAAGAAUAAGGGUCUCCUGUCCCUCACUGAACCAGAAGCCAGAGCCUACUGACAUAGCUGGAAUCUACUCUACAAGGUGUGAAAGACAAAAUACACCAGUUUUCACAGGAACAUUCUACUUUCAAAUGGUGGGGGAAACCUGGACUCAAAAAGAAUCAAACUCCUCACGGUACCAUUAGUGGACAAGAGUCUGGAACACAGGAUCGGGAGUCAGCUGUAUCAAUUGGCCCUGCAGUCACCAGUGAGGAACGGAGCACAGUGUGUCAACACAGGGGUAUGGUUACUUGAGUGGAGUAAAAGAGAAUCUGAAGGAGAAACCCAAUCUAGGAGUCAAGGCCCCUGUCAAAGAAAAAAACGCACUGGACGAUGGAGCAGGUGAGUUUCUUCAGGCUGUUGCAAUAAGGAGGAAAACCUAGUAAUGAGGAAUCCCAGGGUGCCUGGGUGGCUCAGUUGGUUAAGUGUCUGCCUUUGGCUCAGGUCAUGUCUCGGGAUCCUGAAAUGGAGCCCUUCAUCAGGCUCCCUGCUCAGCGGGAGUCUGCUUCUGCCUCUGCCCCUCCCCCUGCUCCUGCUCUCUCUUGCUCUUACUCUCUCUGUCAAAUAAAUAAAAUCUUUUUUAAAAAAUGAGGAAUUCC